AGGUGAUAUAUUGAAAAAAGGUAUAUGUAAUUAAUAUUAUUUUAAGGAUUACGAAUCAAAAUUUAAAUAAUGAUAAAAAGAUAAAAACUGUAAUAACAGGGAUCAAUCAUAAUCAUGAAAAUGAUAAAAAGAGAAACAAGUGGAAUGAAACAUCUGAGUAACUUGUUAAAUAACCAACAGGGAUAAUAUAAGUAACGGUGAGUGAAAGUAUUAAAAUCUUAAAGUAUUACCAAGAGGUAAGAAUAAAGUAGUUUCCAACUACUAAGAAAUAAAAUUAAAUUUUAGAUUAAAGUACCGCAAGGGAAAGUAAAGAAAUAGAAUAAUAAAGAGCAGUUAUAGUAUAACGUACCUCUUGUAUAAGUGCGACAAGAAGCAUUAAUAAUUAAUGUGGCUAAUAACCACCUAACCUUUCCAUUGGUUAGACCCUAUCUAUACAUGCUGAAGGAGUAAUCAUCAGUUUGAAGCUAUAGAGACAAUGUAACAUUAUUCCCAUUAAAAUUUAAUCGGAGUGCUAGGGUAAUAAUUCUAUGAUAAACGAAAGUGAACUUGCAUUGAGGCUUCGUAAAAAAUGGCCCCGCGAAGCGGGGCGAUACCGGCCUACCGGCCGGCAUUGUUAAGUCAAAUCUUUCUUAUACUGGGAUUUGAAAUGGAACAUAUUUAACACGAAGUAAAGCAUAGUAUCUAAGGAAUGUCCGAUAUAUGAUCGGUAAAUUAUGGGGUUGUAAACCCCAUGAUUAAUGGAAAAUUUAUUCCAUAUAUGAUUUUAAUUAUUAGUGAACUUGGUAAGCCCUUAGUUUUCUAAAUAUAAUGUUAUAUUUAGAGGUAACAUAUAAAGAUUAAUCUGAAAUUGUUAUAUCGAACUUAGGGUAUAAGAAGAUUCAAAAAGCGAAUGCAGAUUAGUAAUAGAUCUGAUAAAGUUUUAUAACUUAAUCCGAGAGGAUGCAGACUUGAAUCAUUGUGAUCUUCAUAAUUAUUUAGCUCUUUAAGAGCAAUAUGAUAAUCUAAAGCUUUCGGUAGAUUAUGAUAGAGAUCUUGUUAUAAUACAAGUGAAAAUAAUUAUUGCAAAAUAAAAGCCCACAUAGUGGGUAAUUGGCUAAUAUUGUAAUAUGGGCCCGCCGAAGGCGGGCCGAUAUUAUGGGGCAACGGAAACCCCACAUAUUACAAUUAAGUAAGAUUGCAUGAGCCGUAUGCGAUGAAAGUCGCACGUACGGUUCUAAGGGGGGGAAAAACUGAGAGGUUCUACCUAUCCCAAUUGGGCCAGUGAGUUAUAUAAUUUAGUGAAAAAUUGAAUAAAAAUUUUUAUAUAUAAAUAGAAAUAAAUUAAAUUAUAUAGGCCCGAAAGCAAACGAUCUACACAUGUCCAAGUGUAUAUACAACCUAUUUAAGGUUUAUAUAUGACUCAAUAGGUAAUUGUAGCAAUAAUUUCUAAAGAGGUGUGUGUAGCUGUGACAGACAAAUCUGGUUUGCAGAUAGCUGGUUUUCUGCGAAAUAUAUUUUAGUAUAGCCUUUAUACAUAUUUAAACUGGUACAGCACUUAAAUAACUUUGGGGAAUUAGAAUAUAAUUUUAUCAAAAUAUUUAAACCUCGGAAUCAGUUAAUAAUAAUAUAAGGAGUCAGACUUAUUGCGAUAAGGUAGUAGGUCGAGAAGGAAACAACCUAGACUAUUAAAUGAAUGUCCCAAAUAUUAAUUAAGUGAAUAAAAUCUAUCCUACUUUUAUUUUUUUAUAAAGGUUGAAAUUAUAUCUAAAAUAUAAUUUUACAUUAUUUUUUCUUCGGAAAAUUUAUACGGGGUAUUAAAUUAUAGACAAUUAGUAAGUGGGUUUGACAAUAAUCAACUUUUAAUGAACAUGUAACAAUGCACUAAUUUUAUAUAUAUAUAUAUUAAAAUAUAUAUAUUUAUUAAUAAUAGAGAAAAUAUAUCGGGUCUAAAUUAAUAACAGUAUUAUAGAUAUAAUCAUUAAGAUUAUAUGGUAGCAGAAUAUAUAAUGGAUAAUUAUAAAGAGAUUGCUGGCUUGAGUAACGAUAGAUAAUAUAAGAUUAUCCCCUUAUUCAUAAGGUUUUACUAUAAACGAACGGUCCCUAAGAUUAUUAUAGAAAUAUAAAAUUGAUGGGUGAAAGAACAAGAAAAUAAAAAUGAACCGUACUGUAGACCGACACAGGUAUGAUUAGCAAAAGGGAAUGGGAUAACUACUUUGAAUGAACUCGGCAAAAUAAAUCGUGCGACUGUUUACCAAAAACAUAGCUUAUUGCAUACUAGUAAUAGUAAGUAUAAUAAGUGAUAUCUGCCCGGUGUUAGUUUAAUAAAUAUUAUUAUUUAAUAGAUAAUUUUAUAAAAGACUGAUAAACGGCGGUCUUAUUGUGAGGAUCCGAAGGUAGCGGUGCGACAAGAUGAAAUGAGGGGGGUUCCCCUGAUUAUAUCCCCCUUUGGGGGAUAAAUUCAUAAUAAGAAUAAGGUGAAAACCCUUUACAAUAAAAGUCAUAUUUGUAAACCUAAUUCAACAUGCAUUAUGAGUAAUUAUUUUGUAUGAAGCUUGAAUGACAACGGCUAUAAACUUUAUCUGAUAUAAGUGAUCUGGUCUAGGUUAGAACGACAUGAUUAGUUUAUCAAAAUAGUGGAUUAAAAUCUCGUUAUAGGAAAGUAACAUGAUCAGUUUUUGGUUACUAUAUAUGAUUUAAAUAAUAUCGACGCUACGGAUAUUAUUAUAUGACUUAAUAAUAAAAAAAUCAUCGGGAUAUAGCUAUAAUCUAAAUCGUUCAUUAAAGUCUUAUUAUGGAAACUUGGUAAGCCUUAUACAUACCUAUAUUUUUAUAGGAAGUAAUAUAUAAAAUUAAUAAAAUGGAAAUUAUUAUAUAGUGUAGAAGGUAAAGGAUAAAUAUAAAAAGCGAAUGAUUUUAUGUAAUGUAAAAUAUAGAGUUAAAUGACUCAUUCUGAAAGGAAGCUAACUUAUAUAUAAGGCCAUAAAAAAUUUUAUGGUUUGAGCCGUAAGCAGUGAAAGUUGCACAUACGGUUCUUAAGGGGGGAAAGCUUGAGAGGGCCUACCUAUCCUAACAAAUUCAUUGACGUAUAAUUGACGUCCUGCAUGAAUGAAUAUACGAUGCGAUAACUGUAUCCAAAGUAGACUCAGUGAAAUAGCAAUUGCGGUGAAAUUAGUACUAUAAUAUAUAUAUUAUAUGCCGGGUUGGUGUAAAUCCAACUUUAUAGUUUUAAUAAUGCCGGCCGUAGGCCGGUAUCGCCCCGCGAAGCGGGGCGAUGAGAUAUUAAAUGUCUUAAAUGACAGAUAAGUAUAAUAAAUAAGAAUACAAUCGAAAUAAUACUUACCCCCUUAAAUAUAAGGGUAAAUUACAUAUAGGCAAUAUGUAGUUUAAUCACUAUAAAUAAAAAGGUGAAAACGGUUAAUGACAUCUUAGUUAAAGACCGUCGGCAGUUGUAUAUGUCGCUACAGACUGGUUCACCGAGGUUAGACUGAAAUGUCUGUCUAAAUGUACAGUCGGAUUCUGUAAUAUAAUAUUUAUAUUAUAUAGAGGUGAAAGAUGUAUAAAAAAUACAACUUAUUAGUACUUAAGUAAGAAACCUUUGUAGGUCAAACCUACUUAAAUUAAUCAGAAUUGGAAGAUGCCGUAUAUCCGUAGGUUGACAAAAAGACCCUAUGCAGCUUUACUAUAUCUUUAUUUUGAUUUUUAAUCAUAAUACUUUUAUGAUUAGCCUUUUUUCAUUUAUUUCAGCAGAUUAGGUUAUAUUUAUAUUUUAAAUCAAAUGAGAUACCUAUAUAAUUGAAAAAAGAAUCUAAUUAAUACAGUCAGAAUUCUAUAAUAUAGAAUGUUAGUUAUACUAAUUGACUUAAGUUUAACUUAUUUAAGAAAGAGUAAAGAGGUUAGUUUCGAUGGGGCGUCGACAUCAGCGAAAGCAUCUGAUGUGUCUAAUAACAAAGAUCUUGAUUAAUCAAGACUAAAUGUUUAAUUAAAUUUUUUAUUUAAUAGUAAAUUACGUACAAUAAUUCUAUAUGGUAAAUAGAAUAAAAGAUUAUAAGUAAGGAUAACAACAUAAUUGUGCGAUGAUAAUAACACUAACAAGUGGAAUUAGUACUUACGUAGAGUGUAGUGAACAGGCAUAAACAAAUGGUAUGGAUGUCGAUAACGGAUUAAAGUUACGCUAGGGAUUAAUUGUUAGUUCCUUUAUAUAGAAAUAUAUAUUUAUCUACGCUUUAGUUAGAUAACUUUCAUUUGAAAGAUAUUAAUUGGGUGAAUUACAUAGAACUCUUUAUAUAUAAAGACAAUAUGUAGCGAAACAUAUAUUAGUUAAAUUUUUAAGAUAUAUGAACGUUCAACGACUAGUAAUUGAGUAAACUAACAAUAAUAUUACCACGAGCGCCCAAUACCUAUGAAUUACCCCCCCCGCGAAGCGGGGGGGUUGAUUAUAUCCCAAAGGGGAUAAAUAAUUAGGUAAAGAAAUAGUCUGAACUAUAUAGUAAUAUAUAGAUGUUGUUAUUAAAAAAACAACAAAUAACAAAAUUGAACAGGGUAAUACCGCGUGAGAGUUGAUAUCGUCAGCGGUGUUUGCCACCUCGAUUAAUAACGAUAGUCGAGUUUAAAUAGGUUUAAUUGCAAGAAGUCUAAAAUAUAUGACAUAUUAGUUUGAUAUAUAAAAUGAUGAUUUGCAGCGAAUUAUUAUUUAUAUAAAUAAUAUAUAUAUAUUAUAAGAAUAAUAAACGUUCAACGACUAGUAGGUGAGUAAAAUAACAAUAUCCUACCACGAAAUACCUAGAAAUAUAUAUAUUUAUAUUUUAAGAUAUAGUCUGAACAAUAAUGAAAAUUAUUGAAGUUAAUAUUAAAUAAGUUAACGAUAACAAAUUGGUCGUCUAGACUCGUCCUCCUGGUCGCAGCAACUAGGUAGGGUAGGACUGUUCGUCCUCUAAGGAGUUACUUGAGAUGGGUUAAUUACGACGUGAGUCAGUAAUGAUUUUAUCAUCUAUGGAUUUUUUUCUUAUCUGUUGCCUUAAGUGUACGCAAGGAUAAUAAGGUACAUUCCUAUGGUUAAUUAAUAUAUUUAGCUAAGAAUGUUGUGUUUACAUAUUGAAUGCAUAUCAAAUAUUAAAUCCUUCAGAUAAGUUUAUACAUUAUAGACUAUAAUGUAUUAGUUAAUUUGUUAUAUUUGCAAAUAUACUAAUUUAUUUACUCAUAUUUUAUGAGUAUAAAAAAACAUAUACCU
rnacentral:rRNA from 1 species